GACGAACCGUGCGAACGUUGUUCGGAUUCACUGGGCUUAAAGGGCGCGUAGGCGGGCGGUCAAGUCAGGGGUGAAAUCUUUCGGCUCAACCGGAAAAGUGCCUUUGAUACUGGCCGUCUUGAGGGAGGUAGGGGCAUGCGGAACUUCCGGUGGAGCGGUGAAAUGCGUAGAUAUCGGAAGGAACGCCGGUGGCGAAAGCACUCUGCUGGGCCGACACUGACACUGAGAGACGAAAGCUAGGGGAGCGAAUGGG
rnacentral:rRNA from 1 species